rnacentral:lncRNA from 1 species
AAACAGUGUGAUAAAUUCUUCAAUUCUCUAAAAAUGCCUUCAUUUUCCACAGGAUGAAAUCAAGAAUGAGUAAUUAGUUUUUCUUGAAUCCGCACGGAUAAACUAAAUCAUAGCUAUGGCUGUGGAGACAACACAACCAACCGCUUCAGAAAUCAAUGAUGCCAAAACUCCGGAAAAAUCGUCCUCUACUACUCCCUCUAGUAGGUAUGGUCGCACAAGAAAACCUAAAGUAUCUUCUGACUUCGUGGCCCAUGGCAAAAAUGUCAAAAACUUCCUCUCGCCUGGCUCUUGCGCAAGCAGUACAAAUGGCCAAGCUCCUGAACCAUCAAAGCAACAGACGAUUUUGCGAAAGCGAGCAAGCACUUCAUCUAAUAGGCUUGCCAAUGUUGAAAAUGCUGAAACUCCUGAAAUCAUGGUGAAUGGCGAAAUUUCUAUCACAACACCUGAAAGCUCCUUAAAGGCUAGUAGCAACAGAGGUAAGAGGAAAGUCCAAAGCUCUCUUGCAGGUGAAAUAGUUUCAGGUACAACACCUAAUUGUUCGCUCGAUGAGAGCUCAAUAGUUGAAGCAAAUUCUAGUGCAAAUGCACCAGGAAGUGGAACAAAAGUUGCCAGACGUGGACGGACAAAACAAUCCAUUACGCCUCAAAUUAAUGGUGACAUUCCUGAUGCAAACUUGGAAACUUCCACCACAGAAGUUUCUCAUGAAGCCAUUGGAAACACUACUGUUAGUUCACUUAAUGAAAGCGCAAUAGUCGAAGCAAAUUGUAGUUCAAGCUUGCCAGGAAGUGAAACUAAAGUUGCCAGACGUGGACGGGCAAAACAAUCCAUUACCGCUCAAAUUAAUGGUGACAUUCCUGAUGCAAAAUUAAAAACUACCACCACAGAAGUAUCACACGAUGUCAUUGGGAGCACCACUGUUUGUUCACUUAAUGGAAGCGCAAUAGUCGAAACAAAUUGUAGUGCAAGUUUGCCAGGAAGUGGAAAGAAAGUUGCCAGACGUGGACGGGCAAAACAGUCCAUUACGCCCCAAAUUGAUGGUGACAUUCCUGAUUCAAACUUGAAACCUUCCACCACAGGAGUUUCUCAUGAAGCCAUUGGAAGCACUACUGUUAGUUUGCUUGAUGAAAGCGCAACAGUUGAAGCAAACAGUAGUUCAAGCUUGCCAGGAAGUGGAACAAAAGUUGCCAGGCGUGGACGGGCAAAACAGUCCAUUACGCCCCAAAUUGAUGGUGACAUUCCUGAUUCAAACUUGAAACCUUCCACCACAGGAGUUUCUCAUGAAGCCAUUGGAAGCACUACUGUUAGUUCGCUCGAUGAAAGCGCAACAGUUGAAGCAAACAGUAGUUCAAGCUUGCCAGGAAGUGGAAAGAAAGUUGCGAGGCGUGGACGGCCAAAACAGUCCAUUACGCCCCAAAUUGAUGGUGACAUUCCUGAUUCAAACUUGAAAACUUCCACCACAGGAGUUUCUCUUGAAGCCAUUGGAAACACUACUGUUAGUUCGCUUGAUGAAAGCGCAACAGUUGAAGCAAACAGUAGUUCAAGCUUGCCAGGAAGUGGAACAAAAGUUGCGAGGCGUGGACGGCCAAAACAGUCCAUUACGCCCCAAAUUGAUGGUGACAUUCCUGAUUCAAACUUGAAACCUUCCACCACAGGAGUUUCUCAUGAUGAAAGCGCAACAGUUGAAGUAAACAGUAGUUCAAGCUUGCCAGGAAGUGGAACAAAAGUUGCCAGGCGUGGACGGCCAAAACAGUCCAUUACGUCUCAACUUAAUGGUGACAUUCCUGAUUCGAAUUUGAAUAUGACCACCACAGAAGUUUCUCAUGAAGCCAUCGGAAGUACGUCGGUUUCUAUUCGUCUUGAAGAUAUUGGAGCCAAUGCUGUGAAAACACCUUCAGGUAGUACAAAAGUUCAAGACGCCAAAAUCAAAGCGACACCAUCCGUGAUGACUCCAGCCAGUGCAUCAACGCCUAUAACUCCAUCAAGUUCAAUAAUGCCAGCUGGUGAAUUUGUAGGAGAUGCGGAAAAAAUUUGGGCCGUUGGUGACUUAGCUUGGGGUGGAAUCGGCAAGUUCCCCUACUGGCCCUGCAUCAUAAUGAACGACCCUGUUUCCAGAACACACGUUUGUGAAAAAACUAAAGGGAGAAGCACUUCUAAGUGUUAUUUCCUUCAGUUCUGUGGUGAUAAUGGAAGACACAGUUGGCUCCCUGCAAAAAAUUUAUUAGAAUUCAUCAACAAGCAGCAGUUCUUUGAUUUACAGUCGAAAGUGCUCCAAGACCCUCGAAAAAAAUUAGCGUUUGCCGUGAAAUUCACAAUGAAACCUCACACCAAAAGUGGUUGGGAACAAGCUGUCUCAGAAGCUGAACAUUUGAUGUCCUUAGGAAGCGCUGACGACAGAGUCCAGCACUUCCAACGCCUUUACCCCAUGGAGGUGCAAAGAACAAAGAAAGAUCUACUUAAACUCCUCAUGGAAGAAGAAGUUCCAUCCAGUAAUCAGAUAUCACAACCUACAACCUCUAAAGCCGCUGUUGAACCAUCUAUAAGUGCACAGGAGCCUGUUUCCCCCUCCCCUCCUGAGACGAGCCCAAUGAGCACGGACUCGCCCCCAAAGAAGCUUACAAUUAUUAAAAACAACGGGAAGUACAAGUUGAAGACCAGUAAAGGCAGAAAUCCAUUGAAGCUUUCAUUGAAGGAGAAGAUGCUACCCCAAAACAAAUUGGCAGUGCUUAAAAUGAAAAAGCAACUCAAGAAGCGGCGCUUACAAAAAGAAAAGAAAGAUCGAGUCAAGCGAGCCUAUUGGAAGCUGAAAGCAAUUGAGCCGGCAGCUGAAAGCGAUGGAUUGAAGGAUCCAUCAUCGGCACCUAAAGAGCAAGAGGAAAAAGUCAAGAGAGCGUACCGGAAGAAAGAAAUUCCUACCAACUCAAAAUCUGUUCAAAAGAAGGAAGAACGUGGGUCUAAUGAGGAGAGCACUGAAGUAGAGAUGAACGAAGAGGUUGAAUCAGUCUCUAAGGCAAAAAGGCAGAAGAGUCCAGCGAAAAAAACGAAAGAAGAAGAAACAGGACUUCGGACCGGACUUCGACUUGUACUAUUCUCAAACUUUCGAUCGCUUAUCAGAUGA